AGAGUGACGCUUACAAUACAACU
rnacentral:siRNA from 1 species